UACGAAGGGGGCUAGCGUUGCUCGGAAUCACUGGGCGUAAAGCGCACGUAGGCGGGUUGUUAAGUCGGGGGUGAAAUCCUGGAGCUCAACUCCGGAACUGCCUUUGAUACUGGCGAUCUUUGAGUCCGGGAGAGGUGAGUGGAACUCCGAGUGUAGAGGUGAAAUUCGUAGAUAUUCGGAAGAACACCAGUGGCGAAGGCGGCUCACUGGCCCGGUACUGACGCUCAUGUGCGAAAGCGUGGGGAGCAAACAGG
rnacentral:rRNA from 1 species